rnacentral:rRNA from 1 species
AUGAAGAGGGUGCGCAUCCUGGCAAUGAGGGCUGGCUAUGUGUACAUGGAGUUCUGGUCCAUAAGGAAGACCGACUCCUAUCUUCUUGUGCUCAAUCUCAACACCGUCAAGCUGGAAAUGUUUCUCAACAAUGGGCUCAACAAUGAGGGCAAGCCUUACAGAGGUCCUGCUUUUCCGUUCUUCUUACGGAUGGCACCUCUGCCUGCCGCAGAUGAUGACGAGAAGCUUCAAGAUGCUUGA